rnacentral:rRNA from 1 species
CAGCAGUCGCCGCGGUAAUACAGAGGGUGCGAGCGUUAAUCGGAUUUACUGGGCGUAAAGCGUGCGUAGGCGGCUUUUUAAGUCGGAUGUGAAAUCCCUGAGCUUAACUUAGGAAUUGCAUUCGAUACUGGGAAGCUAGAGUAUGGGAGAGGAUGGUAGAAUUCCAGGUGUAGCGGUGAAAUGCGUAGAGAUCUGGAGGAAUACCGAUGGCGAAGGCAGCCAUCUGGCCUAAUACUGACGCUGAGGUACGAAAGCAUGGGGAGCAAACAGGAUUAGAUACCCCUGUAGUCCCUGUCUCUUAUAA